CCUACGGGAGGCAGCAGUGAGGAAUAUUGGUCAAUGGACGAGAGUCUGAACCAGCCAAGUAGCGUGAAGGAUGACUGCCCUAUGGGUUGUAAACUUCUUUUAUAUGGGAAUAAAAUGUUCCACGUGUGGGAUUUUGUAUGUACCAUAUGAAUACGGAUCGGCUAACUCUGUGCCAGCAGCCGCGGUAAUACGGAGGAUCCGAGCUUUAUCCGGAUUUAUUGGGUUUAAAGGGAGCGUAGGUGGUUUGUUAAGUCAGUUGUGAAAGUUUGCGGCUCAACUGUAAAAUUGCAGUUGAAACUGGCAGUAUAGAGUACAGUAGAGGUAGGCGGAAUUCGUGGUGUAGCGGUGAAAUGCUUAGAUAUCACGAAGAACUCCGAUUGCGAAGGCAGCUCACUGGACUGCAACUGACACUGAGGCUCGAAAGUGUGGGUAGCAAACAGGAUUAGAUACCCCUGUAGUC
rnacentral:rRNA from 1 species